UCGCAGGAUCCCUCUGCGUUCACACAGUGCCAAACAUCCCUGGGCGAGAGGCGGAUGCACGUUAAUACUGCUUUUCUUUUUUUUUUUACUUCCCGGAUUAGAUUUCCCCCAAACCUGCGUUGUUUUGGUUUUGGUCUGCGGGGCUAUGAUGGCCGACAGCGAGGCGGAGACGCCGAGCACGCCGAUCGAGUUCGAAAGCAAAUACUUCGAGUUUGAUGGAGUGCGGCUGCCACCCUUCUGCAGGGGCAAGAUGGACGACAUCGCCAACUUCUCGCUCAGAAGUAGCGACAUAUGGAUCGUCACCUAUCCCAAAUCCGGUACCAGCCUGCUGCAGGAGGUGGUGUACCUGGUGAGCCAGGGGGCGGACCCGGACGAGAUCGGCCUCAUGAACAUCGACGAGCAGCUGCCUGUUCUGGAGUACCCCCAGCCCGGGCUGGACAUCAUACAGGAGCUGACGUCCCCUCGUCUGAUCAAGAGCCACCUGCCUUAUCGCUUCCUGCCGGCGGCCAUGCACAGUGGGGAGGCCAAGGUCAUCUACAUGGCCCGUAACCCCAAGGACCUGGUGGUGUCCUACUACCAGUUCCACCGCUCCCUCCGCACCAUGAGCUACCGCGGAACCUUCCAGGAGUUCUGCAGACGAUUCAUGAAUGACAAGCUGGGAUAUGGCUCCUGGUUCGACCACGUUCAGGAGUUCUGGGAGCAUCGCAUGGAUUCCAACGUGCUGUUUUUAAAGUACGAGGACAUGUACAAGGACCCGGGCUCCCUGGUGGAGCAGCUGGCUGGGUUCCUGGGCGUGGCGUGUGAUAAGGCCCAGCUGGAGGGGCUGGUGGAGAGCUGCAACCAGCUGAUCGAGCAGUGCUCCACCUCCGAGGCCCUCACCGUCUGCAGGGUGCAUGGAAGCCUAGCUUGAUUCUGGCCUGUUGUAGAGGCUCAGAACAGGCUCAGAACAUGCUCACAAACAGGCUCACAAAGUGGCUCACAGCACACGUCUCAGGUCGGGUGGGGCUCUGGAAGGACGUGUUCACGGUGUCCAUGAACGAAAAGUUUGACGGAAUCUACCGGCAGAAGAUGGGCAAGUCAGACCUGACUUUUGACUUUGGCCUCUGAGUGGCCGACCUGCCAAACAUAGGAAAGGAAAUAUCAAGUCCGUCAACAACGACAACCACAACAACAACAACAACAACAAAACAUCACCUCCACUGUCUUUCUCUCUUUGGUCGUCAACCUUCAACAACCCUCAGUGAUUGGUCGGUCAGUCUGUCAGUCAGACAGUCUAGACCCGCCUCCCCGAUCGUUAAUCACAACUCAGACUUCCCUCCUUAUCAAACUCCCCCAUCGCUUUCCUCUCUCUCUCCCCCCUGCCCCUCUCUGUCCCCCCCUCUCUGUCCCCUGUCUCUCUACCCCCCUGCCUCUCUCUCCCCCCUGCCUCUCUCUCUCUCCCCCAGCCUCUCUCUCCCCCCCUGCCUCUCUCCCCCAGCCUCUCUCUCUCCCCCCUGUCUCUCUCUCCCCCAUUCCUCUCUCUCUCCCCCCUUCCUCUCCCUCCUGUGUCUCUCUCUCCCUGCCUCUCUCCCCCCUGCCUCUCUCUAGCGCCCCUUGCUGGCCACGAAAACGACACACACGCUCACUCUUACUGUGCACUUCUAGAUUAAUCUGCAUCAAUAUGUGUGCAUCGACGUGUUAACAGAUCUGCAGCCAAGUUUUUAAAAUCAGUGAUUGAAGCCAUUCUCCUCCGGCCCCUGCCUGGACACAGUACGGGCCCACCGGGGCGCAUCUUGAGAUGCACAUGGAGGCUCUCUGUCUGUAGACUAUCUGGAUAUACAUCGAGGUGUUUGGCGUAUGCAGCCGUGGCUCCGGAGGCUAGAGUGACGAUGUGUGUCAGAGCAGACACACAUGAACAAUGAUGAGCUCAUCAGAGGUGCUGUAGGGGGGCAAUAGAGGGCAGGUUGGGGUGCUGUAGGGGGGCAAUAGAGGGCAGGUUGGGGUGCUGUAGGGGGGCAAUAGAGGGCAGGUUGGGGUGUUGUAGGGGGGCAGUAGAUGGCAGGUUGGGGUGCUGUAGGGGGGCAAUAGAGCCCAGGUUGGGGUGUUGUAAGGGGGAAAUAGACCGCAGGUUGGGGUGCUAUAGGGGGGCAAUAGAGGGCAGGUUGGGGUGCUGUAGGGGGGCAAUAGACGGCAGGUUGGGGUGCUGUAGGGGGGCAAUAGACGGCAGGUUGGGGUGCUGUAGGGGGCAAUAGACGGCAGGUUGGGGUGCUGUAGGGGGGGGGCAAUAGAUGGCAGGACGGGGUGCGGCCCCACCAGGGUCGUGCCAGUGUUAACGAAUGUUAAGCGCUCGUGUUAUAACGUUGGCUUCAGUUUGACUUCCUCCUUUGUUGUUGCGCGGUGUGGCUCCGUGUCUGUGUGUUGAUGCACGUGCACGGCGGUGUGUGUGUGUGUGUGUGUGUGUGCACGGCGAGGUUCCAGUGCUCAGCUGUACGGUGCACCGUCCGUCACGCGCCACUGAACCCCAGCUACGCUUCUGACUUCGCUCUGACGUCAUUCUUGCAUUAAUGGCAGUGAGUUGUACUUUGAGGCUUCUAGUGUUGCACAGGUUCGAGGUCCAUAGCCCAAACAAAAACGCAGACACACACACACACACACACACACACACACACACACACACACACACACACACUGGCUGAUAGACAGAGGCGCGAACACAACCACACACAGUCAGUUAGACAGGCAGACAGACAGACAGUCAAUCUGUCAGUCACACUAGCACACACACACACACACACACACACACACACACACACACAACCACACGCAGACUGACAGACAGCGACACACACACAGAUAUCCACACACACAGACUGACAGACUGAGACACACACACACACACACACACACACACACACACACACACACACACACAAACAACCACACACAUUCAGUCUGACACCCGCAGACAGACAGACAGACAGACAGACAGACAGACACACAGUCAGACAGACACACAGUCAGACACAGACACACACACUUUUGUUGCCAAUAAAGUCCUCAGUGUGUGAGGUGGGCUGCUCUCGUGAAUGUGUUUACUGCUUGGAACAGAACCAGACCCACCUCAUGCUGUGUUCACCUCCUGUCCGCACAGAGCUCACAUUUUACUACAUUACACUGUCUCCUGUAUCGCUCUCUCUCCCCUCCAUCCCUCCCUCUUAUUGUGUCACUGUUUACAUCGGUUGGCAAGGCUUCGACUGCCCAUAAGUACGACUAUUGUCCCGGAGGACAUUUUGUUUUGGGUUCUCACGCCAGCCAUUUAAUUUUUUAAUCUCGGGCAUUCUCUGCAAUGUAUUUUACAUGCUUCGCUUGCUGGUUUAUUAAUAAAGUUAUGUCUUCAGGCAA